AACCUUAUGGACCUGCGGGCGUAUACCUGCGGAGGGAUCAUUACCGAGUUAGGGUGUCUGUUCGCAGCGCCCGACCUCCCAACCCUUUGUCUAUGAUACCUAAACAGUUGCUUCGGCGUGCCGAGGGGUCGUACCCUCGCCGGGCCUCACGGCCGGGAGCGCGCACGUCGACGGCCUUUAUCUAACACUUGAACCCAAAACCUGUCGUCUGAAAACUUGUGACUAACCAAUAAUCAAAAA
rnacentral:misc_RNA from 1 species